CUCAGUAUGCGCUCCCACCCCUGGCCCACGCACCUGGGGAUAAUCAGCACACCAGCCGCUGAUUACGAGUCCUACUUAAGAUGGUGGAUCUGCUCUACUCGUCGCUGGAUCGUUCAGCCAUCAGCAUUUCCUCCGGACCCGUUCCCUGUGCACUGUGACUAAGCGUGAGCAAGAGUGGUAGUGGGAAGAAGAGGAGUUGUUUGUGUUCGCGAGAGCUGUGUGGAAAUCUUCCCUCCCUGGACUCCUGCCCCUUUCACUCCCGGACCCUGGAACCCCGACCCCUUUUCCCCAGACACCGUUGUGUAUAUAUAUUUCACUGUGGAGGACACUGUAAAUGAAUUCACUUUUGGUUUGAAG